rnacentral:rRNA from 1 species
UGGUCUUGACAUGUACGGAAUCCUCCAGAGCCGGAGGAGUGCCUUCGGGAGCCGUAACACAGGUGCUGCAUGGCUGUCGUCAGCUCGUGUCGUGAGAUGUUGGGUUAAGUCCCGCAACGAGCGCAACCCUUGCCCUAUGUUGCCAGCACGUGAUGGUGGGGACUCGUGGGGGACUGCCGGGGUUAACUCGGAGGAAGGUGGGGAUGACGUCAAAUCAUCAUGCCCCUUAUGUCUUGGGCUUCACGCAUGCUACAAUGGUUGGUACAGAGGGUAGCCAAGCCGCGAGGCGGAGCCAAUCUCACAAAACCGAUCGUAGUCCGGAUUGCACUCUGCAACUCGAGUGCAUGAAGUCGGAAUCGCUAGUAAUCGCAGGUCAGCAUACUGCGGUGAAUACGUUCCCGGGUC